GACGGAGGAUGCAAGCGUUAUCCGGAAUGAUUGGGCGUAAAGCGUCUGCAGGUGGCAGUUCAAGUUUGCUGUCAAAGACCGGGGCUUAACUUCGGAAAGGCAGUGGAAACUGAACAGCUAGAGUAUGGUAGGGGCAGAGGGAAUUCCUGGUGUAGCGGUGAAAUGCGUAGAGAUCAGGAAGAACAUCGGUGGCGAAGGCGCUCUGCUGGACCAUAACUGACACUCAGGGACGAAAGCUAGGGGAGCGAAUGGG
rnacentral:rRNA from 1 species